AGGUUUUUGGAUCGUAAACCCCUUUUGUCAAGGAAGAAGCUCUGACGGUACUUGACGAAUAAGCCUCGGCUAACUCCGUGCCAGCAGCCGCGGUAAUACGGAGGAGGCAAGCGUUAUCCGGAAUGAUUGGGCGUAAAGCGUCUGUAGGUGGCCAGCUAAGUCUGCUGUUAAAGAUCACAGCUCAACUGUGGGAAGGCAGUGGAAACUGGCAAGCUAGAGGUUGGUAGGGGUAAAGGGAAUUCCCGGUGUAGCGGUGAAAUGCGUAGAUAUCGGGAAGAACACCGGUGGCGAAAGCGCUUUACUGGGCCAGACCCGACACUGAAGGACGAAAGCUAGGGGAGCGAAAGGGAUUAGAUACCCCUGUAGUCA
rnacentral:rRNA from 1 species